AAUAAGUUGAGAGAGUGUAAAAGAAAAUUUUAAAAAAAAAAUUAUAUGAUUACAUUGAGAAAAAAAUUUUAGUUUGGUAGGUUUCAAUAUUAGAAAUAAAACUGCAGAAGGAAAAAUAAUAUAUUUAAUUUUAAUGUCAUGUAAAUUUGAAAAUUUAGUUGGUCUGAAAAAUUUCGUAACUGUAACUGCGAUUUCUACUUAAAGCUCCGUAAGUUGUUUUGUUUUCCUGCUACUUCUUGUUUUUUGUGUUGUGUAAUAUACUUUGCUCCAUAUAAAAAAAAUUAACUUCCAGCAACAAAACUGUGAAAGGAUUCAUACAAAUUUAAGGUUCACAAUUCAGAGGAUGUACUGAAUCAUAAAUAUCUGAAUAUGUUUAAAAGUUUAUCUCAUCUUUUAAACUUUUUCUUUGGUCUGGCAUGGGAGUCUCGUAUUAGACUUCCAGUUUUAUUGACUGUAUGGUUCAUGGUUUUGGAUGUGCGGAUGCAACUGGAAAUUAAUGUAAAUCUUGGUCCAUGAGAACUUGUCUCAUUUUUUGUUUUUCAAGUUGUUUUAUGAUUAUCAUGUAUAUUUCUGGAACUGUGUAACUUAUUCAAUGUGGAAUAAAUUAAGUGUAUACUGAGUA